GACGAACGCUGGCGGCGUGCUUAACACAUGCAAGUCGAACGCUGAAGCUUGGUGCUUGCACUGGGUGGAUGAGUGGCGAACGGGUGAGUAAUACGUGAGUAACCUGCCCUUGACUCUGGGAUAAGCUUGGGAAACUGGGUCUAAUACUGGAUAUGACAUGCCACUGCAUGGUGGUGUGUGGAAAGGGGUUUACUGGUUUUGGAUGGGCUCACGGCCUAUCAGCUUGUUGGUGGGGUAAUGGCCUACCAAGGCGACGACGGGUAGCCGGCCUGAGAGGGUGACCGGCCACACUGGGACUGAGACACGGCCCAGACUCCUACGGGAGGCAGCAGUGGGGAAUAUUGCACAAUGGGCGGAAGCCUGAUGCAGCGACGCCGCGUGAGGGAUGACGGCCUUCGGGUUGUAAACCUCUUUCAGCACGGAAGAAGCGAGAGUGACGGUACGUGCAGAAGAAGCGCCGGCUAACUACGUG
rnacentral:rRNA from 1 species